CAAAAAUAUGAAAUAAUAUACUGAAAAAUGAAAGAAAGCAUAAAAGAAAAAUGCAAGAACACAAUACUUUCGCCCUAAGGAAAGAGAUUCGGAACCGGAGUCCCUAAUCCCCUUUUGAGCUUCCGCCACCGGAAGAAAUCACUAUAUUAGCCGGAAUCCAAAAGAGUACAGUUCACAGUUCAUGGCACUCAGGCGAAAUCACACAAAGAUUUCGCAUACAACAAACCCAUAGAAUGUACAUCGAACAUCCACUCAAGGAUUGAACCAUAUGAAACCACUCAAGAUCUACUAUGGGCUGUAACAAAAUCAAUCUACAAAAGAGCUUUUGUUUGAGUGUUAAAAUGAAACGAAGAACCAGUGAAUCAGAGAGAACAAAGAGUUCGAGAGAGAAAAAGGGGGAGGCGAAUCAAAAAUGAAUAAUUUAGCCGUCCAAACCCUAGAAGUCAGUACAAAUAGAAGCAGUUGGAAGGUCAGUCAUCAACGGUGAGAGAGGUGACGCUUGGCAAGAUCUGGCGCAUCUGUUCAUAUUAACAAAAAAGGGGUUUUAAACAAAACACGUUUUUAUCACAAUCCGGUCAGCCCAUUUAGCCAAGUUCAAGUGACAAGUGAUCCAGCCCACAAGCCCAUCAGUAUUAUUCCAGCCCAAUCAUCAUUGUGCCACUAUAUAUUUUCUCUACAUUCUCCACCUUGGUACAAUGAUACCGG
rnacentral:lncRNA from 1 species